AACAAUUGAAAAUAUUAUAAAAAGUGCAAAAAAUAUAACUCAACCAUGCCAACUAUGAAUUAGUGUAACAACAUGGACCCUAACUCCGGUCCAUCCGUAUGCUAAUGUUACAGUAGAUUUUGAAUAUCAAGGAUUAAAAACAAAGGAACCCUUGACUGAUGAUGUGAUAUGACCCAACAAAGAGUAGAAUAUUAUAGGCAGCCUUAGUUAAAUAUUUUAGAUGUGGGACAUUUAUUCUUAUAAUUGGUAUUCUUAUAGUUUAUGCGAAUUGAUGAUUAGGUUAAAGGUAACAUUAUCUCGAUAAAGUGUUUAAAUAUAAGCUUUAAAGAGGGUUAUGAAUUUUGACGUUAC
rnacentral:lncRNA from 1 species